UCGUUGAGUUAUUGUUCAGUGUUGUGUCAUUGUGGGUGGACGUACCACAUUGAUUCAUUUCACUACUGGGUUUGUACAAAAACCUGCUACAGGAAUCCCAUAGUGUUCAAAUGUCUUUAUGUUGCUACAUUUUUCAUCUAAGUUUUCAUCUCUGGUUCAUCUUUAGGUUGUUUCUUUAAUUUAUUUAAUUUAUACGUUAUUUAAUUUUUUGUACUUCAUUAAGGCCAGAAUGAAUAAUUAUGGACUUGUAUAAAGAGGAUUUUCUUACUUUUUCUCCAGAAAGGAAUGUGGGUCGAUUCUGAAAAGUCAUCCAUUACUUGAUAUUUACCAGGAAGUAGUUUGUGUCAGUGCUUUUUUAUAGUUAAAGUUAGGCAGAACUGUCAGAGGGUUUUUGUGCUGAGGAUUAUCACUGUGCUUUGACUACCACAGUGACUCAAACACAGUUAAGCCCUGUACAAAAUACCUGUGUGCCAUUUUCUUUAUCUGGAAGUGCAUUAAACAACUGAAGACUCAGGACUGCUGGACAAUCACAGCUGCAUUACUCUAUGGAACUUAUUUUUGUGUGUUUUUGGAAUAUUUUUGGGGAUUUUACUGUGGAGAAAUGUUAGUGCUUGCAUGGAGGAUGAAUGAAAUGGAAAUGGGAGAUUUCUACAAACUACACUGUAUAUUCUUACUGGAUGUUCAAUAAGAAGCAUUGAGACCAUGGUAAUAUGUUUAAGGACUGUUUUGGGCAGAAGAAAAAACUUUUGGAAAGCCAAUUAGCCAUAUCAUCACACCAAGUUUAUAUAUGCUAAAACUCUUGUUCUUGAGACGAUCUUGGGGCACAGGGUUUUUGUAAAGGCUUGAAUCACGGUGACACUGAUGCUCUGACUUUCGGAAAACCGAUUAAACUGACCGUCGAACCAAAGAACACGUCUCCGUCUCUGCCUACUCUAUCAAUAUUAUCUUUUCACACUGAGAAGGAGAAGCAGGAAACGUGUCUGGCUGCAGGCUUCUUUCCAAAACAAGGCCCAUUAUCUCUGUCCAAAGGCGACAGUACAACUAAUUUCAAAGUUGAUAAUGCUGCGCUGUCCUCAACUGGGACCUACUACUUCGCUGCAUUUUCCGAAGAAAUUGAUAUUUGCAAAAUGAAAAAUAUAAACAUUACUAAAAAUGAUGGAAAAAAAUCAACAGAAACAGUAACAGUACAAACCUCAACCUGUGAGCCGCCCAGCUCGAUCAGUGACAGUAGAUCUGGUAAUCAGACCGGACUAAAUGAAAUCAGUGGUUCUGGUGAUCCUAAGGGGAACAUGAUGGCAUUGAUUGUGACUUUUCUCAGAAUUACUUUUGCUAAAGCAGUUGGUGUAAAUAUAAUGAUGACAGUUAAAGCAUUUCUUGUGUAAAGUUAGACAAGUCCAGAACCUUCAAUCAAACCUCUUGCCCAGUCUAAGACUGCUGAUAUACAAUUACACAGCAAAACCUCCAGUAAAUUAACAUGUAUGCUGUUUAUAUAAGUCUAGAUGGACAGAAAUGAAAUCUGUAGGCAGUUAAUUUCCAAACUGUAAGUGUUCGUUGACAUUUCCUAAGAAACUUACAUUUUAUUUUCAUUAAUUUUUUGUUUUUUGUUUUUUUUUUGGAAAAGCAUAUUUUUCUAUGCUCAGAUUCUUUGUUUUGGUUAAAAUGUAAGUUACCCAAUGUUCAUGUUAGUACAAUUUCUAUUCAUACAUUUGUUUUAACAAGUUUUAUAAAAAGAAGAUAUUUGAUAUUUUUGUAUGAUAUUUAAUUUCAAUAUUCUUUACUUUAACUGUUUGCUGUUUUUAUCUUUAUAUGCUUUUAUAUUAUGUUGUCUAUAUGAUACAGAGUGUGCAUACAGGGUUAAAUGUUAAAAAGAAAUAGUGCAACAUUAAAAUAGGGCGUGCAGACAGACAGCAGUUUUGCAAGCUGUUGCAUUAACCACAGGUUUAACAGCAAUGCACGAUGUCAACCUCGCUCUCAGAUAACAAUCUACCACACAUUUCAGUUUCUAGGAAACGCUGUGUUUCAUUAUUAUUCACAAUUCUCGAGUGAGCACUCUGUCUGCAAUGAAGAAACAAGCAACAGCAAGUUCAUGCUUAAUUCAUUGCUCUUUCUUUGGCUUCAUCUAUAGCAACAAUACAUUGCUGCAAUCUAAAAAUCUUCCAUUAAUGCAUUCAGUUGUUUUGUAUUUGUGUAUGCUCUUCAUGAUAUGGAUCUAACCAAAAAGAACAAUUGUUUUUAUGAAACUAAUACAAAUCUAACUAAAAAGAACAAUCGUGACGUGUGUUUGAUGAAUGGGGAUGAAUGUGUACUUCUGAACGCUGAGUAUGUAUGAGUUAAUAUAAAACAAUAAAAGUGCUCUUUGCCAAAAUAAUGAUGUUGGGUUUAUCUGACUCCCUCUUCUGGCUGUGAGAAGGUGUGUUUAGAAUUUGGAGAUGAAUACUCAUAUAUCCUGUAUAUGUGAAAGUACAGAUGAUGCAUCAAAGACUUACUCAAUUAAAAGUGGCAGUAUACAGCCAAAAAUGUAAGUUAAAACGUUGCUACUUUUAAGUGUACAAACUAGAAACUAAAUGUUUUUUUUUUUAAUGAAACUAAAUAAAUGUUGUCUUUUUUUA